GAUGAACGCUGGCGGCGUGCCUAAUACAUGCAAGUCGAGCGAACAGACGAGGCGCUUGCUCCUCGGACGUUAGCGGCGGACGGGUGAGUAACACGUGGAUAACCUACCUAUAAGACUGGGAUAACUUCGGGAAACCGGAGCAAAUACCGGAGAAUAUAUUGAACCGCAUGGUUCAAUGGAGAGAGACGGUGUUGCGGGCACUAAUAGAUGGAUCUGGGCUGCAUUAGCUAGUUGGUAAGGUAACGGCUUACCAAGGCAACGAUGCGUAGCCGACCUGAGAGGGUGAUCGGCCACACUGGAACUGAGACACGGUCCAGACUCCUACGGGAGGCAGCAGUAGGGAAUCUUCCGCAAUAGGCGAAAGCCUGACGGAGCAACGCCGCGUGAGUGAUGAAGGUCUUCGGAUCGUAAAACUCUGUUAUUAGGGAAGAACAAAUGUGUAAGUAACUAUGCACGUCUUGACGGUACCUAAUCAGAAAGCCACGGCUAACUACGUG
rnacentral:rRNA from 1 species